rnacentral:rRNA from 1 species
CCUACGGGAGACAGCAGUGAGGAAUAUUGGUCAAUGGGCGCGAGCCUGAACCAGCCAAGUAGCGUGAAGGAUGACGGCCCUACGGGUUGUAAACUUCUUUUAUAAAGGAAUAAAGUGAGGCACGUGUGCCGUUUUGUAUGUACGUUAUGAAUAAGGAUCGGCUAACUCCGUGUCAGCAGCCGCGGUAAUACGGAGGAUCCGAGCGUUAUCCGGAUUGAUUGGGUUUAAAGGGAGCGUAGAUGGGUUGUUAAGUCAGUUGUGCAAGUUUGCGGCUCAACCGUAAAAUUGCCAUUGAUACUGGCAGUCUUGCUUACAGUUGAGGUCGGCGGACUUCGUUGUGUAGCGGUUACCUGCUUAGAUCUCACG